UACGGAGGAUGCGAGCGUUAUCCGGAUUUAUUGGGUUUAAAGGGUGCGUAGGCGGAUCGUUAAGUCAGUGGUCAAAUUGAGGGGCUCAACCCCUUCCCGCCGUUGAAACUGGGGAUCUAGAGUGUGCGAGAGGUAUGCGGAAUGCGUGGUGUAGCGGUGAAAUGCAUAGAUAUCACGCAGAACCCCGGUUGCGAAGGCAGCAUACCGGUGCACAACUGACGCUCAGGCACGAAAGCGUGGGUAUCGAACAGG
rnacentral:rRNA from 1 species